rnacentral:lncRNA from 1 species
UUUAGAUUGUUGACUGUUUUUGAAUAAAAGCGAGGUAAAAUUACACCAAGUAUAUAUAAAUUAUAAAUUAUUUUAAUUUGAUUGUAUUUUUUUUAAAAAUUUUAAUUUUACUAUCUAACUUUUCAGUUUGUUUGGUUUGAGUCCGUCAACGAUAUUUUUAUCUCGAAUUUUAAAGGUGUCGUUUAUUUUUAUUAGUUAAUAUACUUCAUGUAAUUUUUGCAGCUAUAAAUUUAGUAAAGUACAUAUAAUUAGCUUUAAUUUUGAAAUUAAAGUACUUGACUCAAAUUAAAUAAAUUGAAAGAUUGAAUAGUAAAAUCAAAAUUUUAGAAGAUUAAAUAAUUAAAUCAAAUGGUACAUAGUACAGAUAAGUUCUGUACAUUUAUACCUGCAGGCGAUGUUAGAGCUAUAAUUUAUUUUUGGGUUGUAAUCCAACUUACAACUUGGAUUUUGAUAGUUCAAAAGAUCGGCUCCAACGUAGAUACUGCCUCUAUGGUAUAGAAGCAGUUUGGCCAAGGGCCGAGACGCUAAUAGAAGCUGUUCUAUAAAAGCGAUUUAGAACACUCCAACAAAUUUAUUUACUAAAUUUUAUUUAUAUUUUUUAUUUAUCUGAUAAUAAUAUAAAGACGAUUUAAAUCGCUUCUAUAGAUAUUAUUGGAUUAUUUGCAUACACGUCCCUGCAAAUAUAAUGAAUUGCAGAUCUAUUCUUGCAAAAUAAAAAUUUCAUAAGUUGUCCCUAUAAAAGUUCUAAUUUAUGCAGAUAUAUUCCUACCGUUAAGGUCUGUUAGAAAAUUUUUGUUAAUCACAAUUAAAAUACUUAACCGUAGUUAAUUAUAAUGUGAAUUGACGGAUUUAUCCUUCUUUCUCUUCCUCCUCUUUCUGUUCCCUCUUCUUCGUCGCCGGCGAGGAAGGAGAUGCGGUGGCGGCGACGAACCCUCUCCCUCUUCCUCUUCGCCCUUCUUAUUCCUCUCCCUCUUCCUCUUCCCUCUUCUUCGUCGCCGGCGAGGGAGGAGAUACGGCGGCGGCGGCAAACCCUCUCCCUCUCCCUCUUCCUCUUCCCUCUUCCUCUUCCCUCUUCUUCUUCCUCUCCUUCUUUCUCUUCCCUCUUUUUCGUCGCCAGCGAACUCGACCCCACGCCGCUGCCGCCGUCCGCUUCGACGGCCCGAAGAGGAAGAGAAAGAGAAGGGGAAAAGGGAUACUUUUGGAGGGAUAUAUUUGUGAGGGCAAAAAGGUCAUUUCACGAAUCCACUGUUAAAAAAUAAAUAGUUCACUAACGGAUAUUAACUUGAGGGACAUUUCUGCAUAAUUUAGGACUUUUGCAAUGACAACUUAUGAAAUUUUUGUUUUGCAGGGAUAUAUCUGUAAUUCACUAUGUUUGUAGGAACGUGUAUGCAAAUAACCCAAUAUUAUUCUAUAGAGAUGGUUUUAAUUGCUUAUAUGGGCAAG